UAUGGCAGAUUAGUGCAAAGGACUUAAACCCCUUAAAAAAAGAUUUAUAUCUUUUAUUAAAU
rnacentral:tRNA from 1 species